rnacentral:ncRNA from 1 species
UUACUGUUUAAUCAUGGCAGUUGAAACAUGCUUAUACUAAACUGCAUAAGUAUAUAAUGGUUGAAGCUACUAUAAAAAAUUUUUAUAGAUUCUUAGCAGUGGAUAUUUUGUAAUCUGCGUAAGCAGGACAGAGUAGUAUAUUUGGAGGAUAAGACACAGUGCCAGCAUCCGCGGUUAUUCUGUUUCCGCUUGUUUCUUGAUAGUAAAUUUUUAAUUAUUAAGUAACUUUAUACAGUAAAAAGUAUUUUGGUUAUAUUAAAGUAGUAAUUAAUGGUGUUUUGGAUCAGCUAAUAAAACAAAUUAGGAACUUGUGUAGUGGAUUAAGAUACAAAAGUUUAGUUAAACUAAAAUUAUUUGGCAGCUGACUAGUCCUAACAGGGGAGGAUGCCUUAUAAGGGAUAGUCCACCCAGGAAUUUACCAUAAAUACUUAGUUGGUGUACGUCCGGUUAAAGAUAGAUAGUAAAAACUAAUUAUUUGUGUAAAAAUAAUUUUUAAGCCAGGUCUAUGUGCUGCUAACUUUAUGGUCAAGGUUUGCUACUUUUAAAAGAUGUUUGUAAAUAGUAUAUUUAGGACUUGUAAGUAAGAUUAAAUUAACUUGUUGGUCUGAAAUGGGUUUAGUCGGGGUACACACCGCCCGUCAAUUUCGGUUAUUCUGAGAUAAGUCGUAACAUGGUAGCUGUAGGGGAACCUGCAGCUAGUAGCUAUCAGCAGUGGUUGUUUAGCU